CAUGAACGUCGCGCCGCCACGAAGGUUGACGGCGCCUUGUCUGUCGGCGCCGACGCCGACGUCGACGCUCACGCCGCUCCCGCGUUCCAUUCGAGGUUUCGCGCUCGGCGAGAGGCUGCGUUCCCCGGACAUCCGUCUGAAAUUCCCCAAGUCAGAGUCAGCUUUCAGAAUCGGAAAGAUCGGCCAGCUCGCCUCGAUCCGUUCGUCCCUAUGUUAUAAACAAACAUUUCUCUUCUCUUCCGGCGAAGAUGGAAAGAAAAAUUCUUCCCUCCUUCGAAACACUCGUUUCCGUUUUUAUCGAACCGUUUUGUGGUGGAAAGGACGAUGACUCUGGAUAGAUCCGCGCGUACAAAAAGGCGUGUAACAAUUCCCAUUUGAACACGAAUCACGAAGAACCGGCACAGGGCUCAACGACUCCUGGCUCUGUAACACUUGGGCUGGUUUCGCGAGACAGAUCUGGCAGAUGAUGGUGCACAACACGAGCAACGAGAGGAUACGCGUCGUCAUUUCGACGAGGGUCAAAUCUGGAUUCGAGUGAUUCGCGCGAACAGAAGUGUAGAAAAAUAAUCGUAGGAAUUCGUUAGAUCACUGUUCGUGCUUGUCAUUGGCUUUUAACGAGUGGACGACCUUACUUUUCAGGGACGAACGAAAGUGGAUCUCAGGAAAGUGUCGGCCGCUAAUCAGCUUCGGGGAAUCACGUGAUAAAAAGGCAAAAAAAAAAAAAGAGAGAGAUGAAGAGAGGAGUCGAAUAUUGAAAGACGAAAGAUAACGAACGUUUUGUCAAUAAUCUUUGAACGAGUGAGGCUUCUUCAAAGGGCAACUUGUACGAAUUGACCUUCAUGUUCGAUCCCGUGGACCUUUGUGGACGUAGAUGAUGGAUGGGAUUAAGAAGUUACUAAUCUUUUCUUUCGAGCCUUCUUUUUACCUUCCAACCUUCGAAACUGGAAAAAAUUUCUGGCACAUUAAUUCUAGAACAGGUAGAAGAGGUUCUACGAAUAUCGUUGAACGCGAAUUAAUUUUAAUAAUUCACAAAAAAUCACUCACUUUUCAACGAAGAAAAUUCAUUUUUGAAGAACGGAAAAUCGAUAUCCAUCGUUUCAGCGACGGCAAGGAAUAGCAGGAAAAUGACUUCGUCCAUGGUCAGGAUCCGUACCAGUACUGAACGCAUCCGAAUUUUGAAACUUUCCUUUUAAAGGGGUUUUUGUCGUCAUUAUUGGGGGAGAAACUGAAAGUUUCAGCCAGAUAAUGGUAAAAUCUUUGACCUGGCACCAGGUAACCCUACCUGGAAUUUUAGGAAAAUAAAAAUCAAUAAAAUCAAGGGAUCAUAUUAACGGAACAAUAGCGAGUUUUUCUAAAGAACUUUUCUUUCACAAUGAAAUCGAGGAAAAUUAUUUGGGACAAAAGAAGAUAACUAAUGGAAGAUAAAAAAAACAGUUAUAAAUAGUUCCACGUUUUUCUUAAGGAAAUGUGAAAUAUAUAUAUAUAAAUGGAUAGGAAUUUUUUUCGAUUCUUAAAAAAUUUUUUUCGAUCAAAGUUAAUCGAUCUUUAAGGAUGUCAUUGCCACGUGUCGUCGUCGUUGAGGAUUUCUUCGUAAAGAUUAUAUCAGCCACGUUCUAUAUAUAAUGAACACGAUGGCGGAAAAUGUAAUGGAAAAAUGAAGAAGUGACACAGUCACCAAUAAUAGUUAUUUACGAUCGUCGUUCAAUGUCGCCGUUUGUCAAUGUUUCAUAAACAUUAUGAAUCAUGAAACAAGCGUAUUUGCACAUCGACCAAUAUAGUUUCUUAAGAGAAAUUUGUAAAAAUUGUCGAAUAUACACGAAUUGAUAAAAAAAGUAAAAAAGUGCAACUCGUUUUACGCAAGAAUCUCAACAAAUUUGAUGACUAAAUGGCUUUCUUAGUAAAAGGCGUGUAUUAAAAAAUGGAUUGAAAUAAAUUAAACGAAAGAUUUCGUAAUUACUUAACGAUUAUUUCACGUUACGCUUAUCUAAUAGUUUUUUAAUGAACUAAGGUCAAAGAUAUCCACCGAUAGAAAAAAAAAAAGAAAAGAAAAGAAAAGAGAGAAUUUAAAAUUUUAUAUGACUUCUUAUACGUUUUAAUGACGGAAAUAAAAAUAAAUAUUCAAUAAUAUUUAUAUUGCGUAAGAGCGUGAAGUAUGAUAAGCCAGAAUAAUAGAUGGAAACUCCGUGGAAGUCGUAAAAUAAAUGAUACUUAAUGUAAAUACAAUUGUCGGUAAUUACGUGCAAAUUACGAGAAUUCGUGUGCAGAGAUAUCAAUAGGAGACAAAUAUACCGACAUAUUUUUUGAUUUUUACUUCGUGUUUGUACGACAAGAUAUCCGGUUCUUUACAUUUACAACAACUAAUUAUUCGUACGUAAAUUAUUGUUUAUACGGAAAAAGUUUGGAGAAGAAUUGAAUUGUUUUGAAAGAGAAAUAAGUAUAAUUGAAUUUAUUGCGGAUAGAGGUUGUACGAAGAUCAUACGCCUUCGCAUUUAUUCGUAUUCGCUUAUAAAUUAAUAUAAAAAUGUCGAUAAUUAAAAUACUAAAAUCGCAAAUUCGAUAUUUGAUUGGAUGCUAUGUAUAAAGAUAGAAAAAAAACAUUAUCUCGUUCGUAUUACUAUCACGAUUUAAGAUUAAAAUAACUACGCUCGUUACGUUAAAUAUAAUUUUAACGUAAUUACGUACAAAGUUUUUUAAUUACAUGCUACAUCGUUUUAUAGUAUUAAAAUAACGUUCAAUCUUAAAUAUCUAUUAUAAAAUCGGAAAAAACGCUAAUCAUGUGUCGAGUAUUAUCCACUUAUACGAUAAAACACGAUGGAAGUCGCUUUGAAAAGUUUUUAAAUGGACUGACGCUUCGACAAAGUGAACAAAUUAACGAAGACAAAUUUAAUAUCCGAUAUCAACGUUGGAAAAAAGAUAAAAAAGGAUUUCGAGGAUUUUCUCAAACGGUGAAUACUUCCUAUGCUUCGUGUAUUGGCAAGAAUAUUAUCACAAAUGAUAAUAAAUUUAUUUUUUGAAUGCUCGACUCUGAUGAAAUUUCAUUCAUUAUUCAUUCACAGUUAAAGUUUUCAUUUUUAAAGAUAAAGCGCAAUAAAAUUAGUUACAUAUCAACACAUCGAGUUGUAAAGUAAUUACGAUUUCGAUAUUACAUUGCCAUGAUCCAGCAUGGGUAAUCACAUUGCGUCGAUCGAUGUUCGAGUCGAUAAUCGUUUUAAACCGAUGUACCUUUGACUCUUAAUUCCAUUGACGUGUUUCAGAUCCUACAAGCUAAUCGGUAGAGUAUCCUAAAAAUCGAGUUUCGAGUGAUGGCACGGUCCAUGGCGUUCGUAAUAUUUCCACGAUUAAAUAAUUCGAGAGAGCAAAAUUAAUUAAAUAACGAGUAUAUCCAAAUGUUUGGAUGAUUAAUCUCUGAAGACGAGCAAACUCCUCGUGUCCACGUUGGCGGAUGCAGAGCUGGAGGCGAAACUGUUGCCGGAUCCCGAAGACGCUUUGCUGGAUGCUUGUGCAUUCGCAUUGGCCGACCCAUUUCCAAAACCUGACGACUUGGCGGACGAUUUGGCGGACGCAUUGCUACCAGAAAAUCCUUUGAACGAGUUCGAAUUCGCGUUUGCAAUUGCGUUUGAGCC